rnacentral:lncRNA from 1 species
AGACUGCCAUUGAGGAAUUGAGGGCGGGAUACUAUUCAUUUUGAUGCAUGUAUCAUGCAUUCAGUCUGGUGGGGGUGGAGCAGUGAGGCUGGAGACCCAGGCAGGGGACGCCUCAGGGCUUGGAGGAGAGGUCGACGAUACGGACAAGGAGCAGUAGCCUCAUGGAUCUGCAGUGAAGCGUCAUCGAGGGAUGGCUGAUGUCAAGGUGAGCUCCUGUCAAUCCUUCUCCCUCUUUAACUCCUGAUCUGUGUCACUCUCUCUCCCUCUCUUUCUGCCUAUAUAUGCAAAGAUCGCACUGUUUAUUUCCUUCUCAAUGUUGUUACCGUGUUCAUGUUUUUUUUGGAAAUUAAGAGGACUGUAUGCACUUUGUAAGCAUAUAAAUGUUUUUUCUCCUAUCAUUUUUUUUGACAUGAUGAUAGGUUCUGGAAUUUUGGAGUUAACAAAUCUGUUUACAUAUUUGUUUGUCAGGCACACAUAGCUCCGGCUGCCGCGGAUAGGAAGUACUCGACGCAUGAUAUCCUCCUGACUCUGACUGAACCCUGUUUCGUGCAAACAUGCUCUGUAUUUUUUUGGUAGGAACAUUUAACUCUAAAGACAUAACUAUUCAGACUGCAAGAUUUUUGCUUUGGGUUUCAGAAGAACUGUAUAGACAUGCUUGUUGUAGUAUCUGUGUUAUGUACUCAGUGUCAAAUACAAAGUUCAAAUAUCAUUUGAUACAAGGAACAGGCAUCUGAACUUUAUAAAAGUAGAUAUAGCAAACAUUAGGCUUGAUUGCAUUAAUAAUUUAUAUAGUUGCAGAUGUACUUACUUCUGGUACUAAUCAUUUGAUGCUUUUCUUUUUAUUUCCACCAUUACAAGAUUAAGCUUGACAGUGAAAUCUUGGAUAGUAUGUAACACCUUUUCUGCAUAUUUAGAAUAUGUAUGCAAACUCACACUGGUUUAAUUUUGCUUUGGUUUUACUAACCAAAUUAGUUUCAAUAAUCCAGUUCCAUUUUUGUCUUCCCUGCUAAUUUGCGGCUUUCUGUGCCAGAUACAUCAUAGUUAAUAAAAAAACUUCUGCUGUAAUGGAGGUACUCAUCUUUAGUAGUGUGCUUAAUUUGAUUCAUCACCUCAAGUGUUUUACACAAAAUUUGAACUAUGUGUAUCUACUGGUGAGUCCUUGGGCCUCGCUCUAUUUCAGUUUUCAAGAUGGAAGAAUGUCUUAAAGUUUCAACUACUAUUUACUAAUUGUAGGCUCCUUAGAAGAUUCCACCUAAUCUUUAGAAACAGAAAAUUAUAAGUAUAUUGUCCGCUAGAUGCAAGCAUGAGUAGCUCAAAACUGAAACGCUGCCAUCUCGGACCUCCUCCAUGGUUUGCCAGGCUACCAAGAUCAAUAAUGUAGCGACAUGAGGAGGGAAUUUGAUCAAGACAUAAGUAGGUAAAUACCCCUAGCUAUUUUCUUUAUAUAUUUUGCCCUUCUCUCACUGUAUUCUAUUUUGCCUUUUAGUGAUUGUAAAAUUAAAGUCUUCAAUAAACAUACAUUUACUUAUGCUUCAGAGGAUAAGCCUUCUGUAAAUACACCCACCCACGCCUAAGAUUUUAGCAAAUAAAUCUUGGCUCAAUAACUUUUGUUUUUAAUGGAAGGAACAAUUUCUUCAGUGACUAACUACAUCUUUUUCUUUGCUAGGCUGUAGACAAGAUAGGUGAUAUUAAAUGUUUCCUCACAAAUAACCUCUCUAAUUGACGAGAAUAACUGGGUAUGUAACAAUGUUAACAUUGGUAGUUUAUCGGCACAGUACUAAUGUUGCCUUAAUGCACAAUAAACUCAAAUAUCGUCCUCUCAGUAUAUGCCUCUACAAAAGGGUGCUUAAUGAAUUCAAUGGUUUGCCUCAUUUGUACAGAAAUUUGGACCAUUCUAGCUCAUUGAGAUAGUUUCUAAUUUAGUUUGUUGAUUAUAUUUUAUUACUACAGUUUUACUGGGCUGUGUCCUCAUGGAUUUCAAGUUUCGCUGGAGAUAUGUCAUCUGCCAAUGUUAGAAGAAUAGGUGCUUCCAUAGAAAAAGGUCUUUGUCUCGAUUCCUUCCCUUUGAAGGAAACUCCAAAUCGAGUCGUCGCGCCAUGCCUAGGCUUGCUAAAAGCUAACUCAUGUCUUAGAGAUUUUUAGUAGCGAAUUUAAGUGCAUGGUUACUGAUGUGGCUAUGGAAUGCACGGGUUGUACAGCAACUAAGUUUGUAGAGUGAAUUCACGUGCUCAUAAAGGAAGUGGUGAAACCCAAUAAACAAUAUCAUAUGGAUGCAUCUUAAGAGGUGCACAAUUGGCAUAUAUUUCGAUUGUGCUCCUUCAGGCCAUCUUUGAUGCUCAGAUUGUGCUUUCAUUGACAUUCACAUAUUCUUGUUGUUAUUGUGUAUGUGCAGCUACUGAUAUAGGUCUCUUAUAUGAAUGUUAGAUGUCAUUUCUAAAUUCAUGUUGUAACUAUUUCUGCCUUGCUAAGCUGAGAUCAGGGACUGCUGGUCAUUUCUGAAGAUCAGGACACAACCAGCCUCAUUUCUAAAGAUCAGGACCCAACCAGCCAUCCUAAUCUGAGUGUCGGAUAUUUGGAAGUUUGAAGAAGCCUAACAUGCAUAACAUUAGGAGCCCCCCUCUCCCAGUCGAGAUCAGGCAAGGCAGAUGGGAAGCAGCGGCGCCCCCUCUCCCUCGAGCUCUAGAUCCAUGGCACCAGCAUCGAGGUAAGUAGCAGCACCUCCUCUUCCAUCAUUUUUUCACCAUCUCCGAUUAAGGAGCUUUAGAUUUGCUCAUUUGUAUGAAAGGUUGACUCAAAUUUUGAAGGACGUCCCAUAUACUUUAGUGCUUAUCUGUUUGUCUUAAAUUCUUAUGGCCUGAUCUCUGCCCAUAGGAAUGUGACUAUUGGCUCUGUUGUCUCUUAAAACAGAAAAUGGAUAAUGCAAAUUUGGUGACUAAACUUGGUGACAAGCUCCCCGUCUCUCUUCUCUGCAUGUAUCCCCAUCUCUGUUCUUAGGAGACAUGCUGAAGAGUGUCUUCCUCUCGUUGCUUUGCAGGUCAUAUCUCAGAAUACAUCAUGUCAAGAACUGGUAGCCAAAGAUCUCCAUGGAACUGAGUGACAUUUCUUGGUGACUUUACAAUAUUCAGCUUGAAGCCCUUAAAUUUCCAGUAGUUGUGUCCUUAUUGUUUUGGUGUAGCACUUCAUGUAACAAUUGAAUGCUGAAUUCAUUACUUCAUGAGUAUGUGUGGCCUCUCUCCCUCUGUCUGAUUCUAUAUCAUGCCUUUCAGUGUUUUGUGUUUUAGAUUCCAUAAUCUCCUUGUAUUUGAGUGUCAUUUAUUUGGCUCCUUCAAUAUUUGUAGUGCAACUUCCUAAAUGUCAUGUCCAUGUGUUACCAAAGAUAGAAAAAAGAAAC